AAUGAACGCUGGCGGCGUGCCUAACACAUGCAAGUCGAGCGAGACCUUCGGGUCUAGCGGCGGACGGGUUAGUAACGCGUGGGAACGUGCCCUUCUCUGCGGAAUAGCCACUGGAAACGGUGAGUAAUACCGCAUACGCCCUUCGGGGGAAAGAUUUAUCGGAGAAGGAUCGGCCCGCGUUAGAUUAGAUAGUUGGUGGGUAACGGCCUACCAAGUCUACGAUCUAUAGCUGGUUUUAGAGGAUGAUCAGCAACACUGGGACUGAGACACGGCCCAGACUCCUACGGGAGGCAGCAGUGGGGAAUCUUAGACGAUGGGCGCAAGCCUGAUCUAGCCAUGCCGCGUGUGUGAUGAAGGUCUUAGGAUCGUAAAGCACUUUCGCCAGGGAUGAUAAUGACAGUACCUGGUAAAGAAACCCCGGCUAACUCCGUG
rnacentral:rRNA from 1 species